CCUUCUUCCCGUGGUAAAACCAAGUUUUAUUCGUAUGCCAAGUUAAACCACCAUGGCUGUUGCCUGCUUAUUUAUACCCUCAGCUUCUCCUCUUUUAUUGAGCUCUGUUGAAUGGCGAGGCCCCAGAAGAUGAGAAGAGGGUUUUUGCUUUCUAUGAGGAGGAGGAAAAAGAGAGUGAUGCAAUUGGAGCAGAAGAGUCCCUUUCGAUAUUUGGUGCUAAGAAAACUUAGAAAGCUAAAGAAGAUUGUUCCAGGGUGCCAAGAUGAUGGCGUGGAGGCAGUGCUUCGGAAGACCGCCGAGUAUAUUGCUUUUCUAGAGUUGCAAGUGACUGCUCUUAAGAGUCUCUCAUAUAUCUAUGGUGUGUAAUGUAAAACUAUCUUUCCUUCCAAUAUGUCUCCAAUCAAGACCAACAUUUAAUGGAAUUGUAUGUCCGAGAGAGAGAGAGAGAGGGAGGUCCUAUAUUUCCUUGUAUCAACGCACAACUAAUUGUAUUAUUUCUCGCGUGUUUCUUUUGUCUAGUUUUGGCAAGAAGUCUCAUACUUUAUCCUCCAUUCUGUGACUAGCAUAGACCGGCCAUUCUAGAUCAAUUGGGUUUAAAAAACUUGUGAUGCA
rnacentral:lncRNA from 1 species